rnacentral:lncRNA from 1 species
AAAAGGACCUUUGAACCUCUCUCAAGAAGCCGCUUGACAUCCAGCUCAUAAGAGCACAACAAUCACAACGAUUUCCAGUUAAUCAUGAAAUGUGUAAAAUGUCAGCCUCCAGCCGACAGUUAAGCUCAGCCACUUCGUGAAAUGGCCACACGUCUUGCUUACCUUCCACCAGGGAGGGUGCGGAGAGCUUCUCAUAGCCGGAACAGACGCCCAGAAGAGGAUCUCUGCGCCUGGGACAGAAAAGAAAUGCCAGGAGGGACCGAGGAGGGAUGGGGCAAUUUGGGGUGGAAGUUAUUAAGCCUGGUGAGAGUGAAUCUGCAAAGGGUGAUUGUCUUUAAAUCCAGGACUGCUGUGUGCAGCUCUGCGCGAACAGGGAUGGACGCUGUUUGAGUACAGGGCUCCGGACAACCUUGUUGGACGUCGAUUCAAUCAAAACCAAGGAGAAGCUUCAUGAACUGCAGAAUAAACAAUUCUGCAGAUUUUUAAUUUAAUUUUUAAAGAUAAGUCAAAGGAAAAGAACACAAAGAAGGUGCUUCAGAAGGAACUUCAGAAAUAAACCCCUUAUUUCCGGUUGAAUUUUUUAUGUUUCGUCUUUCCUUUUCUCCUCUUCCUCCUUUUUGUUUUCCUUUUUUCUUUCCUUCAUUUCCCUUUUCGUUCCUUCCUUUCUCUCUCCAUUCCUUUCUUCCCCUUUAAAUGUUAACCUUAAAUCAUACACAAUCUAUACAGAUUUUUCACUAGGAGCAUCAGCAAAGAUUUUCUUCUUUGCUUCCAGAGCUAGUUAGGAGAUGAGAAGGGAUUUUUCUUAAUCUUAUUGUGUGGUGGGACUUGAAACGGGUUCCACACCCCCUGACUUCUAGAACUAAAAUCAGUGCCAGAUCAAUAAUCUGAAAGAUAAAUAUUAUAGACUUGGAAGUUCAGAUUCUCCAGGCACAAGACAUUUAAUUAAUGGAAAUAAUUGUUUUCUCCCUUUCAAAUCAAUAAUUCUGUCAUUGUUAUUACCUAAAGAUCAUUACAACCCAAAUAAAAUGCAUUUGGAAAAAUCUCACUUUUUUUCUCUAAAUGCUUUUAACACCUUUUAAUAUCUUUUUGGUAUAUUAUUGCCUAGUCUAAAAUAAAUAAACUCUGAGAUUUAACAAAACAAAACCU